AUGGAUUCCUAAUUUUAGAGUAAAUUGAGGAGAAGAAAAAAAAAAUUAAAUUUUGGCGACAGAGUACACGAUUUCCUACCUUUCCUAGCAACAAUAUCUUCCAUCCAAUCAUACUACUGUUUAAUGAUGUAGUCAUUAGAUAUAUAAGCGUGUGAUCACCUCCGAUUAUUACAUGAGAAAUACUAUGUAUGUCUUCUGUUAUUAAAAAAAAUGAUAAUUUUUACAUUAUAUGAUUUUUUUUUUUUUUCUCUCCAUAAUUCAUAAACAAGAUUGCUAGAAGAAAACAAUCACAUCUCAGGACACAGUGGUCAUGCUAUUCCUUGAACAGAUUUAGAAAGAUAUUUGUAAUGUUAAUGUUAGGGUUAGGCUUGUUUCAUGUUCAGUAUAAGAGAAUUUAAGGGGUCGUGGAGACUACAACAUUCCGUUUUGAUGAUUUGAGUCGUUUACUUUUUAAAACUCAUUAAGUAGAAUAUUCAUCCAAAAAAUCUAAAUGAUCGGACAUCGACGCUUGUACAUGGUUGCGUUAAAUUUGUAUUGCAAAAAAUGAAUGAUUAUUUUUUAAAUUAUAUUUGUUGUCCAUUUUUUUAAAAAUAAAUACGAUUCAACUAUAUAACUACUAAUAUCUAAUUAUCUUUAUUUUUUGUAUAAAUAUUCUAGUUAACGAAUUCAAAAAAUAUGAAUGGUUCUUAUCACCAGAAUCAAUUUUAAAAUGCGUCUAUUAAAUCCAAACACUCUCUCAAAUUAAGACAACAAUUUAAAAAAAGUCAAACCCUUAACAUGUACUUAGGAAUCCAAAAUGAUUAUUUGUCAUGGAAAGAGUUGAAGGUCCCAUGCACGUACAGUGAUUUGAUUACAUACAGAGACAUUUAAUUGUGUUUUGAUUUGGAUUGCAGAAAAAAGUGAGGAAAAAAAAUUAUUUUCUUUUUUCUUUUGGUGUGUGUAGCAAAUUUCAUUUUAUUUUAUGGUUUAAUUUAUAUGCAAUAUACCUUGUCAUUUGACAUAAGCAAAUAAUUCAUGCAGUUUACGAAUUACAAUGAAUCGUCAAGCUUUUUGUUCAAGUGACAAAAACAAUUAGAAACAAACUGCAUAUGAAAUAAGCAUGGAGGUCGAAGUGAAUUUUGCUUUCUAAAAAAUGACAAAAAAUGUUUAUGAUUAGCAUAAUGAAAUUACUUAUGUAUUUUAAUUUAUUUUCAGAUAAAAUAAAAAUUAUGUGCACAUGAGCUCACCACCAGUGGGCGAGAGUAAAAUUUGCCCCUUUUAUUCUACCACAAAUCACUCCAUCCAAACACAAUCUAAUUAUGACUUUGGAAGUCAUUGUUUGGUCUCUUGUUUACCGUUAAGUAUAAUGAAGGAGGAGAAGAAAAGAAUGUCUGUGAAGGUAGGUCACAUGCAUGCAUGAUCAGGGUAUAACAUAUUGCAACCGUCUGAUCUAAGUUGGAUGGCGAUGAUUGAACAAGGGUUAACAGUUAGGUAAGGAGAUGUUUGUGUGGGUGGGUCCAGACACACGUGUACAUUGUGGUCCUCAAUAGUACAAAUCCAGCGUAGAGGAAUUUUGUUUGCUUAGUUAAGGUCAAAAUCUCAAUCAUGGAGGCAUUAUUUGGGUGGACAACGGACAGACUCAUCUUCUCCACUCAAAUAAAUCAUAAUAUUUUGUGUAUCUAAAGAUAAGGAAGAGGGAGAGAGAGAGAGAGAGAGAAGCAAGCAACCAUUACAUAAAACAAAGACUUCACAGUCAUCCAGCAAAGAUCCCUUUGGGUGGAGAAAACUUUUUCAUUUUCUGCUUUUGCCACUACACCCAUCGGCCACUCAAAAUCUUAUUCUUUCUCCAAAAGACAGAAGAAGAGUCGUGGGAAGAAAAAAAGCACACAUGCAAACAUGUUUUUUGGGUUCAACUCAGAAACAAAUAACACUGAAUUUGAGCUAAACAAUGAAAAUGGAGCUUUGGAAUCAAUCCAUCUUGGAAAAGGCAACAGCAGAUAUCAACUCUAUGUUUCAGUAUUCAAGGUACCCUUACCAACACUUCCAUUUUUCUAAGAAAUUAAUCACAUAAUAUCUACAUAUACAGAAUUAAAUCAUAAAUAUACAAAACUAAAUCAUAAAAAAAAUAAUUUAAAUAUA